rnacentral:rRNA from 1 species
AAUGAACGUUGGCGGCGUGGAUUAGGCAUGCAAGUCGUACGGGCCGCAAGGCCAGUGGCGCAAGGGUGAGUAAGGCGACGGUAACCAACCCCAGGAUUGGGUAUAGCCGCGGGAAACUGCGGGUAAUCCCCAGCGAUGUCGGCCGUGGGCAUCCCCGGCCGACCAAAGCUCCGGCGUCGUGGGACGGGCCGUCGUGGUAUUAGGUCGUUGGCGGGGUAAUGGCCCACCAAGCCUGCGAUGCCUACCGGGCGUGCGAGCGUGGCCCGGCACACUGGGACUGAGACACUGCCCAGACUCCUACGGGAGGCUGCAGUCGAGAAUCUUCGGCAAUGGGCGCAAGCCUGACCGAGCGACGCCGCGUGGAGGACGAAGGCCUUCGGGUUGUAAACUCCUGUCGAGGGGGAAGAAGGGUCGCAAGACCUUGACUGAUCCCUGGAGGAAGCACGGGCUAAGUUCGUGCCAGCAGCCGCCGUAAGAC